rnacentral:rRNA from 1 species
AGUGAACGCUGGCGGUAGGCCUAACACAUGCAAGUCGAACGGCAGCACAGUAAGAGCUUGCUCUUACGGGUGGCGAGUGGCGGACGGGUGAGGAAUACAUCGGAAUCUACUUUUUCGUGGGGGAUAACGUAGGGAAACUUACGCUAAUACCGCAUACGACCUACGGGUGAAAGCAGGGGAUCUUCGGACCUUGCGCGAUUGAAUGAGCCGAUGUCGGAUUAGCUAGUUGGCGGGGUAAAGGCCCACCAAGGCGACGAUCCGUAGCUGGUCUGAGAGGAUGAUCAGCCACACUGGAACUGAGACACGGUCCAGACUCCUACGGGAGGCAGCAGUGGGGAAUAUUGGACAAUGGGCGCAAGCCUGAUCCAGCCAUACCGCGUGGGUGAAGAAGGCCUUCGGGUUGUAAAGCCCUUUUGUUGGGAAAGAAAAGCAGCAGGUUAAUACCCCGCUGUUCUGACGGUACCCAAAGAAUGAGCACCGGCUAACUUCGU